rnacentral:tRNA from 1 species
CGGGAUGUAGCGCAGCCCGGGUAGCGCACAUGAAUGGGGUUCAUGGAGUCGCAGGUUCGAAUCCUGUCAUCCCGACCA